rnacentral:rRNA from 1 species
AUGCCGCGUGUGUGAAGAAGGUUUUCGGAUUGUAAAGCACUUUCGGCGGGGACGAUGAUGACGGUACCCGCAGAAGAAGCCCCGGCUAACUUCGUGCCAGCAGCCGCGGUAAUACGAAGGGGGCUAGCGUUGCUCGGAAUGACUGGGCGUAAAGGGCGUGUAGGCGGUUUGCACAGUCAGAUGUGAAAUCCCCGGGCUUAACCUGGGAGCUGCAUUUGAUACGUGCAGACUAGAGUGUGAGAGAGGGUUGUGGAAUUCCCAGUGUAGAGGUGAAAUUCGUAGAUAUUGGGAAGAACACCGGUGGCGAAGGCGGCAACCUGGCUCAUGACUGACGCUGAGGCGCGAAAGCGUGGGGAGCAAACAGGAUUAGAUACCCUGGUAGUCCACGCUGUAAACGAUGUGUGCUGGAUGUUGGGUAACUUAGUUACUCAGUGUCGUAGCUAACGCGAUAAGCACACCGCCUGGGGAGUACGGCCGCAAGGUUGAAACUCAAGAAAUUUGACGGA